GAACCAAAAAAGUGGUACGGGUACCAAUUUUAUCGGUGGCGUACCAAAAAUUGAGCGUAGUGUUCAAUUUUUGGUACGCCACCGAUAAAAUUGGUACCCGUACCACUUUUUUGGUUUC